rnacentral:rRNA from 1 species
GAUGAACGCUAGCUACAGGCUUAACACAUGCAAGUCGAGGGUAAACGACAGAGAAAGCUUGCUUUUUCUAGGCGUCGACCGGCGCACGGGUGAGUAACGCGUAUCCAACCUGCCCAUCACUCGGGGAUAACCUUGCGAAAGUAAGACUAAUACCCAAUGAUAUCUCUAGAAGACAUCUGAAGGAGAUUAAAGAAUUAUCGGUGAUGGAUGGGGAUGCGUCGGAUUAGAGUGUUGGCGGGGUAACGGCCCACCAAGGCGACGAUCAGUAGGGGUUCUGAGAGGAAGGUCCCGCACAUUGGAAGUGAGACACGUGCCAAACUCCUACGGGAGGCAGCAGUGAGGAAUAUUGGUCAAUGGACGAGAGUCUGAACCAGCCAAGUAGCGUGCAGGAUGACGGCCCUAUGGGUUGUAAACUGCUUUUAUAAGGGAAUAAAGUGAGUCUCGUGAGACUUUUUGCAUGUACCUUAUGAAUAAGGACCGGCUAAUUCCGUGCCAGCCGCCGCAGUAA